rnacentral:tRNA from 1 species
ACUUUAAUAGCUUAUUUAAGAGCAUGGCGCUGAAGAUGCCAAGGAGACAGUGCUGUCUUAAAGUA